rnacentral:sRNA from 1 species
AAAAACAAUUUCUACUCUGGAUCUGAGAGUAUCAGUGUUAGAGUUGCCGCAGCAGUGUGCGAGAAGAAUAUUGAAGCUCCAUAUGUACUUCAGAGCUAGCUUUGGCCUCUGGAUCAUGCACUGUCAAAGAUGCUGAAAGAAUGAAGAAAUUAAAAAAUGAAUUUGGAUCAGAUAUAAGAGUAGAAUUGAAGAAAAAGUCAUCAUCUGCAACAACUUUAUAUGAAAUAAGAAGGGGCGUAACAUAUGAGAGCGCAGUUCUUUCGCAGACUGGUGGUAUCCCUAAUGACAGACUCGAGACUGUACCAUUCCGUCCAGAACAACUUCACCAAGUUGCAUUGCCUCCUGAUGAAUACAUUAGAGUCUACUUUGAUCUAGAGACAACUGGCUUAGAUUCAUCAUGUGAAAUAACACAAAUGCAUGCAAGGUGUGGAGAUUCUUCUUUCUGCUGGUAUGUAUUACCAUCAAUUGCCAUACAGGAGACAGCUUCAAGGAUAAGGGGACUUACAUGUGAUGAUUCAACUUUUAAAAAACGGCUCUAUACUGGAGUGUUUGACAUCAUUUUAUGAAUGGCUAAAUAAUACACCGAAUAUACAUAAACCAACACUAUUUGCUCAUAACUGCAGAAAAUUCGAUAGUGUUGUUUUAGGCAGAUCAAUGAGAAAAUGCUCUGAUAUGACAUUGCAAGACUGCAUUGUUGGAUUCUGUGAUACCCUGUCUAUGUUGAAGAAUCAUGCGUCUUGUAAUACCACAAAUUCAACUCUAGCGACCCUUGUGCUGGAAAUUCUAGGCUGUACAUUCGAGGCACAUGAUGUACUUGAAGACAUACUGUACAUAUCUACAGAAACUUGUGGAACAUCACAGUACAUAUUCCUAUUAUUUAAACUAUACUUUCAGUAUGGAUUAUAAGAUGCAAGUUGUACUCCAAUGGAAGACUCUAAAUCUAACUUGCAAACUUUUAUGCCCUUGUUGACAAAAACAGUGCCUGAGAGCAUGGUGAAAUGGAUGUCUCUCUCUGGGCUUUCAAUGCUUCAUCUACAGUUAGCGUACCAACGAGGAGGCUUUGAUGGAGUACAACGUGUACUGAAUGAAAAAAAAACAGAGGUAACCAAACGCAGGGACAUUAACAUUUCUGUUGUUGACUUAUUGAAAGAAAGAUAACAAUUUCUCAUACAUAAUGUAAAGAUAUUUUCUUUUAUUUCAAUAAUUUUAAUACUUGAUACAGCACAUUUUAAUUUAUUUAUUUUACAUAUAUAUAUAUCUAUUGAAUGUUUUCAUGUGCAGGAAUCAAGUGUUAUCAUACUCUACUGAAUACAAAUUAGCAAAACCUUG